GAUGAACGCUGGCGGCGUGCCUAAUACAUGCAAGUCGAGCGAACGGACGAGAAGCUUGCUUUUCUGAUGUUAGCGGCGGACGGGUGAGUAACACGUGGAUAACCUACCUAUAAGACUGGGAUAACUUCGGGAAACCGGAGCUAAUACCGGAUAAUAUUUUGAACCGCAUGGUUCAAAAGUGAAAGACGGUCUUGCUGUCACUUAUAGAUGGAUCCGCGCUGCAUUAGCUAGUUGGUAAGGUAACGGCUUACCAGGGCAACGAUGCAUAGCCGACCUGAGAGGGUGAUCGGCCACACUGGAACUGAGACACGGUCCAGACUCCUACGGGAGGCAGCAGUAGGGAAUCUUCCGCAAUGGGCGAAAGCCUGACGGAGCAACGCCGCGUGAGUGAUGAAGGUCUUCGGAUCGUAAAACUCUGUUAUUAGGGAAGAACAUAUGUGUAAGUAACUGUGCACAUCUUGACGGUACCUAAUCAGAAAGCCACGGCUAACUACGUA
rnacentral:rRNA from 1 species